GCCUACACAUGCAGUCGAGCGGUAGCACAGAGAGCUUGCUCUCGGGUGACGAGCGGCGGACGGGUGAGUAAUGUCUGGGAAACUGCCUGAUGGAGGGGGAUAACUACUGGAAACGGUAGCUAAUACCGCAUAACGUCGCAAGACCAAAGUGGGGGACCUUCGGGCCUCAUGCCAUCAGAUGUGCCCAGAUGGGAUUAGCUUGUAGGUGGGGUAACGGCUCACCUAGGCGACGAUCCCUAGCUGGUCUGAGAGGAUGACCAGCCACACUGGAACUGAGACACGGUCCAGACUCCUACGGGAGGCAGCAGUGGGGAAUAUUGCACAAUGGGCGCAAGCCUGAUGCAGCCAUGCCGCGUGUGUGAAGAAGGCCUUCGGGUUGUAAAGCACUUUCAGCGGGGAGGAAGGCGGUGAGGUUAAUAACCUCAUCGAUUGACGUUACCCGCAGAAGAAGCACCGGCUAACUCCGUGCCAGCAGCCGCGGUAAUACGGAGGGUGCAAGCGUUAAUCGGAAUUACUGGGCGUAAAGCGCACGCAGGCGGUCUGUCAAGUCGGAUGUGAAAUCCCCGGGCUCAACCUGGGAACUGCAUUCGAAACUGGCAGGCUAGAGUCUUGUAGAGGGGGGUAGAAUUCCAGGUGUAGCGGUGAAAUGCGUAGAGAUCUGGAGGAAUACCGGUGGCGAAGGCGGCCCCCUGGACAAAGACUGACGCUCAGGUGCGAAAGCGUGGGGAGCAAACAGGAUUAGAUACCCUGGUAGUCCACGCUGUAAACGAUGUCGAUUUGGAGGUUGUGCCCUUGAGGCGUGGCUUCCGGAGCUAACGCGUUAAAUCGACCGCCUGGGGAGUACGGCCGCAAGGUUAAAACUCAAAUGAAUUGACGGGGGCCCGCACAAGCGGUGGAGCAUGUGGUUUAAUUCGAUGCAACGCGAAGAACCUUACCUGGUCUUGACAUCCACAGAACUUUCCAGAGAUGGAUUGGUGCCUUCGGGAACUGUGAGACAGGUGCUGCAUGGCUGUCGUCAGCUCGUGUUGUGAAAUGUUGGGUUAAGUCCCGCAACGAGCGCAACCCUUAUCCUUUGUUGCCAGCGGUUAGGCCGGGAACUCAAAGGAGACUGCCAGUGAUAAACUGGAGGAAGGUGGGGAUGACGUCAAGUCAUCAUGGCCCUUACGACCAGGGCUACACACGUGCUACAAUGGCAUAUACAAAGAGAAGCGACCUCGCGAGAGCAAGCGGACCUCAUAAAGUAUGUCGUAGUCCGGAUUGGAGUCUGCAACUCGACUCCAUGAAGUCGGAAUCGCUAGUAAUCGUAGAUCAGAAUGCUACGGUGAAUACGUUCCCGGGCCUUGUACACACCGCCCGUCACACCAUGGGAGUGGGUUGCAAAAGAAGUAGGUAGCUUAACCUUCGGGAGGGCGCUACC
rnacentral:rRNA from 1 species